rnacentral:rRNA from 1 species
UGACCUCAAAUCAGGUAGA